rnacentral:rRNA from 1 species
GUCUCAAAGAUUAAGCCAUGCAUGUCUAAGUAUAAGUUUUUAUACAACGAAACUGCGAAUGGCUCAUUAAAACAGUUAUAGUUUACGUGAAAAUAACUACCACACGGAUAACCGUGGUAAUUCUGGAGCUAAUACGUGCAAAAACACUUGACUGCAAAGAAAAGUGGCAUUUAUUAGAUUAAGAAUCAACCUAUACUUCGGUAUAGUUAAUUGGUGAUCCAUAAUAAUUUUGUGAAUCGCGUAGCUUCGGCAGGCGAUAGUUCACUUAAGUUUCUGACCUAUCAGCUUUAGACGGUAGGGUAUUGGCCUACCGUGGCAAUGACGGGUAACGGGGAAUUAGGGUUUGAUUCCGGAGAGGGAGCCUGAGAAACGGCUACCACAUCUAAGGAAGGCAGCAGGCGCGCAAAUUACCCAAUCCUGACAUAGGGAGGUAGUGACAAGAAAUAUCAAUGCAGAACAUUUAGUUUUGCAAUUGGAAUGAGUUUGAUGUACAACCCCAUGCAAGUAUCAAUUGGAGGGCAAGUCUGGUGCCAGCAGCCGCGGUAAUUCCAGCUCCAAUAGCGUAUAUUAAAGUUGUUGCAGUUAAAAAGCUCGUAGUUGAAUUUUUGUCGUUAAAAACAAACAUAGCACUAUGUGUAUUGUAUUGUUUUUAUUGACAAUUCUCUUAAUAUUUUAUUUUAGCUUGCUAAAAUAAAAUGUUAGAGGAGUUACUUUGAGAAAAUUAGAGUGCUUCAAGCAGGCGUACUGCCCUGAAUACUCCAGCAUGGAAUAACAUGUAAGGACUAUGGUUCUUCUUGUUGGUUUAAGGACCAAGUAAUGAUUAAUAGGGACAGUUGGGGGCAUUCGUAUUUAGUAGCUAGAGGUGAAAUUCUUAGACCUACUAAAGACGAACUACUGCGAAAGCAUCUGCCAAGGAUGUUUUCAUUAAUCAAGAACGAAAGUUAAGGGAUCGAAGACGAUCAGAUACCGUCGUAGUCUUAACCAUAAACGAUGCCGACUAGAGAUUGGAAGCUG